AAUAAAGUAGCAAUGAUGUAAUGAGUUCUAACUAUGUGAGCACCAACAGUAAGUUUAACCGUCUCAGUGCUCACAACAGAGUGCAGCAUGAUGUACUGCUUACCCCUGUGGCACUAAAAGUGAAAGCAAAAUAAUGGUCUAAAUGCUGGGCGUUUUAAUUGACAUUUUGCAAUAGGUUACAGCAGACAAGCUCCUUCAAAAACAGGAGAUACCCAGUGAGUGGCAUCUCCUCAUUCUGUAUGUAGUGGUUGGCAUGGCGGAGGCUGAUAUGGAAACGGUCCAGGAGAUGCUCAGUUUCCUAGGCCCCAUUAAUGGCCAAUAAGAACCCAUUAUAUGCUCAGUCUCCUGGGCCACUGUAUUGAAAUGGGCCAAUAAUUUUCCAGGCAAUACCCAAUCACCUUGGUCUCUUAUGGUGGUCUAAUAAGGUGUCAGGAGAUACUUGGUUACCUGAACUCAAAAAGUGCCCCUCUGUUAGCAAGUUGUCACCAAAUCCUGAGUUGCCCUCCAAUAAUAUGUCCCUGCCUAACUUUACUAAUAACAGUGAAGGGCC